UUGUGUCUAAGUUUGAUCUUUAUAUGGCUCUAUCUAUGACUUGUUUACCGUCAUGAACUUCCACUUCUUUACGAGGACUUGACCUCUCCUUUGUCAUCGUUUGGGAGAGGGAAAAAAAAGGAAGAAAAAAAGACAAGAAAAAUAGUAAUCAAGAGACAUUGGUGGGUGACUUAUAAUAGUUUCGUUUAUACUGUCGUAAUGGAUUAUUU
rnacentral:lncRNA from 1 species